rnacentral:tRNA from 1 species
GAAGGUAUAGCUCAGUGGUAGAGCUCAUGCUUAGCAUGCAUGAGGUCCUGGGUUCAAUCCCCAGUACCUUAA